GCAGUCCAUGGAGACAGGUUGGAAAUGGUCUGAUUAAGAAAGCGAAAUCUUCAGUGUUGCUUAGGAGAAAUCAAAUUGCCUUAAUUAUUAAAGGUAAAACACUGGAAAGAAUAGGUUUUAAGGGUUUCUCUGUUGCAAGGUUGUGAACAGUUUAUGCUUACGUUCGUGAAACUUUACCAAAAACACAAAAGACCUUGAAUAAAACUGCAAAAUAUCGCUGUUAUGCAUUGCACUGUAAAAUCCUAAGGGCCAGACUAUCUUAUUUCUAUAAACUCAGAUUCUAAAACAUUUUUUACUAAAUGAUGCGCAGUUAAGUCUGAGUUUAGUGGCUUUUCAUCUUCUUAAAAUAACAGAGUGACGAAGACCACUUCAUCAGAGUGAUGAAGACCACGCAACAGUCCUUUUUACUUAUUCAACCACUAGUUAACGAGCGUUACAGGUGCGAGGCACCGGUAACACACCGACUCCUCGGGAAGCCUGUGUUCAUCCGCGCGCUCCACAUUCCGCAAGUCUUCCAAGUCGGGGCGGCGAAGAACCAGGGCCUGCGCCAGGAUUCCUUCCCCGGAAGCCGCUAAGCUUCUCUGCCCUCACCGUUUCUCUCCUUUCCUCCACGCCUCUCUUCCCUCCCCAUGCUGAGGUAGAUAAGAAGACGGGAAGGGGUUCGCACACAGUUUCAACGAGAGUUACGAAGUGAAAAGGACGCUCAAGCCCCUGUGUACCACGGUUGCCGACCGCCGCUCAACAAGCACUACACCGAUUGGAUACAGGGAUGCUGGCGAGCGGAGGAUGGGCCAAUCAGGAUGGGGCGUACUUGCGGGUGCGCUUAGCCGGGGCGGGGCUCCAGGGGAUUCGGUCUGACCCAGCUGAGGAAUCUAUUAAAAACAAUUUGGUGUGGAGGCCUGCGCUCCUUGCAGUUGUAUCCUCCAAAGUGGCACAAGGAACCCUAGGAGAAAUGAAACUUUACCAGAAAACAAAAGACCUUGAAUAAAACUGCAAAGUAUCUGUGUUA